CAGGCGCCCCUAAGGAAUCAACUUGAAAUACAUGAAACAUUUUUGUAUUUUUGCUGAAACACGUGCAGAGUUCAAGGUGAGAUCUGUGGCCGUCCUGGAGGUAUGUCACAUGGCUGUCCAGUCAGCUGACAGCCUCCAGCUGCUGCACCUUUGGGACCCAACACACAAACUUCACGCCAAAGCCACUGUCUCCAUGGACUGUUCAUCCUCAUGGACCCUGUUCAGGCUUCCUCAGAGCAGACGUCGGACUGCAGUUUGAGGGUACUCUCACCCGGUUUUUCCUUCCUUCUGGUCUUCCACAGGGUUGCACCCUUGUUUGUUGCUCAAAAGGCUUUUCCAGCUUAUGCCUGCUUCCCUUCCCUUUAUUCCUCAUGGAAGUCCCCCCUGGUAAAUCUCCUGUACUCCUGAAUCCAUCUUGGCAUCUGCCUCCCAGAGGACAUAAACCAGCAGACCUACAGGAUGAAAGAGGUUACCUAAGCUAAGAAGGAAGACAGAGAAAUUCGGGAACCUUAGUUUUGGCUCUUAAGAUCUUUCAAUGGAGUGAAUGAAGCCCACCCGUAUUAUUAAGGAUAAUCUCUUUAUUUCAAGUCAACCAAUUGUAGAUGUUCACCACGUCUACCUCGACAGCAACACCUAGAUCAGUGUUUAGUUAAGUAACUGGCGCUACAGCUGAGCCAAGUUGACACAGAAAACUGACCACCGCAAAGACUGGAAACCAUGGGCAGGGUGGGGUCCUGGGACCUUGAGGUUUCCAUGAAGACCAAUGGAAGGAAGUAACAUCCUGCUCCGCGUGAAGACUCAGGGAGCCUGCUGGUUUUGGACUGGCCUUUCCAGAAGGUCUAGAGGAAGUAUUUGUGAACUCAGAGAAAACUGGGCUGAGAAUGAAAAGGAGCUGCAAGAGUGGCCUAUGGCUGUGAACGAACAAGGCUCCCUCUUCUUCCUUACACCUGCAGACUGGAAGAUUCCUCACACCUGGGACCGGCUUCCAUCUCUGAACCACGGCAUCUGAUACACUUUGUGAUCGUUUAUAAGCACUCAAUAAAUAUUUCUUGAAUAAA